AGUGAACGCUGGCGGUAGGCCUAACACAUGCAAGUCGAACGGCAGCACAGUAAGAGCUUGCUCUUACGGGUGGCGAGUGGCGGACGGGUGAGGAAUACAUCGGAAUCUACUUUUUCGUGGGGGAUAACGUAGGGAAACUUACGCUAAUACCGCAUACGACCUACGGGUGAAAGCAGGGGAUCUUCGGACCUUGCGCGAUUGAAUGAGCCGAUGUCGGAUUAGCUAGUUGGCGGGGUAAAGGCCCACCAAGGCGACGAUCCGUAGCUGGUCUGAGAGGAUGAUCAGCCAACCUGGAACGGGAACCCGGUCCGAGCUCCUACGGGAGGCAGCAGGGGGGAAAUUUGGACAAGGGGCGCAAGCCUGAUCCAGCCAUCCCGGGGGGGGGAAGAAGGCCUUCGGGUUGUAAACCCCUUUUUUUGGGAAAAAAAAGCAGCAGGUUAAUACCCCGCUGUUCUGACGGUACCAAAAGAAUAAGCACCGGCUAACUUCGU
rnacentral:rRNA from 1 species